rnacentral:rRNA from 1 species
CCUCUUUCAGUAUCGGCGAAGCUCCAGGAUUUUUCUUGGGGUGACGGUAGGUACAGAAGAAGCACCGGCCAACUACGUGCCAGCAGCCGCGGUAAUACGUAGGGUGCGAGCGUUGUCCGGAAUUACUGGGCGUAAAGAGCUCGUAGGUGGUUUGUCACGUUGUCCGUGAAAACUCACAGCUUAACUGUGGGCGUGCGGGCGAUACGGGCAGACUAGAGUACUGUAGGGGAGACUGGAAUUCCUGGUGUAGCGGUGGAAUGCGCAGAUAUCAGGAGGAACACCGGUGGCGAAGGCGGGUCUCUGGGCAGUAACUGACGCUGAGGAGCGAAAGCGUGGGGAGCGAACAGGAUUAGAUACCCUGGUAGUCCACGCCGUAAACGGUGGGUACUAGGUGUGGGUUUCCUUCCUUUAGGGAUCCGUGCCGUAGCUAACGCAUUAAGUACCCCGCCUGGGGAGUACGGCCGCAAGGCUAAAACUCAAAGGAAUUGACGGGGGCCCGCACAAGCGGCGGAGCAUGUGGAUUAAUUCGAUGCAACGCGAAGAACCUUACCUGGGUUUGACAUGCACAGGACGCCGGUAGAGAUAUCGGUUCCCUUGUGGCCUGUGUGCAGGUGGUGCAUGGCUGUCGUCAGCUCGUGUCGUGAGAUGUUGGGUUAAGUCCCGCAACGAGCGCAACCCUUGUCUCAUGUUGCCAGCACGUAAUGGUGGGGACUCGUGAGAGACUGCCGGGGUCAACUCGGAGGAAGGUGGGGAUGACGUCAAGUCAUCAUGCCCCUUAUGUCCAGGGCUUCACACAUGCUACAAUGGCCGGUACAAAGGGCUGCGAUCCCGUGAGGGUUAGCGAAUCCUUUAAAGCCGGUCUCAGUUCGGAUUGGGGUCUGCAACUCGACCCCAUGAAGUCGGAGUCGCUAGUAAUCGCAGAUCAGCAACGCUGCGGUGAAUACGUUCCCGGGCCUUGUACACACCGCCCGUCACGUCAUGAAAGUCGGUAACACCCGAAGCCGG